AGCGUCAGCCCUUCCAGCGCCCCCAGUGCCGCAGUCUUGCGCAUCAGGCCGUAAACGCCGAAGCUCAG
rnacentral:tRNA from 1 species